GACGAACGCUGGCGGCGUGCUUAACACAUGCAAGUCGAACGGAAAGGCCCUGCUUUUGUGGGGUGCUCGAGUGGCGAACGGGUGAGUAACACUGGAGUAACCUGCCCUUGACUUUGGGAUAACUUCAGGAAACUGGGGCUAAUACCGGAUAGGAGCUCCUGCUGCAUGGUGGGGGUUGGAAAGUUUCGGCGGUUGGGGAUGGACUCGCGGCUUAUCAGCUUGUUGGUGGGGUAGUGGCUUACCAAGGCUUUGACGGGUAGCCGGCCUGAGAGGGUGACCGGCCACAUUGGGACUGAGAUACGGCCCAGACUCCUACGGGAGGCAGCAGUGGGGAAUAUUGCACAAUGGGCGGAAGCCUGAUGCAGCAACGCCGCGUGCGGGAUGACGGCCUUCGGGUUGUAAACCGCUUUCGCCUGUGACGAAGCGUGAGUGACGGUAAUGGGUAAAGAAGCACCGGCUAACUACGUG
rnacentral:rRNA from 1 species